AUUGAACGCUGGCGGCAGGCUUAACACAUGCAAGUCGAGCGAGCGGCGGACGGGUGAGUAAUGUCUGGGAAACUGCCUGAUGGAGGGGGAUAACUACUGGAAACGGUAGCUACUACCGCAUACCAUCAGAUGUGCCCAGAUGGGAUUAGCUAGUAGGUGGGGUAAUGGCUCACCUAGGCGACGAUCCCUAGCUGGUAUGAAAGGAUGACCAGCCACCCGUGGAAGGCGGAACCGGCCAGGCUCCUACGGGAGGCAGCAGUGGGGAAUAUUGCACCAUUGGCGCAAGCCUGAUGCAGCCAUGCCGCGUGUGUGAAGAAGGCCCUCGGGUUGUUAAGCACUUUCAGCCAGGAGGCGUUACCCCCAGAAGAAGCACCGGCUAACUCCGUUCCAGCCGCCGCGGUAAUAC
rnacentral:rRNA from 1 species